GGGGGGGGGGGGGGGGGGGGGGGGGGGGGGGGGGGCGGGGGGGGGGGUCGGGUGUGGUGGCGCGGGGGGGCGUGGGGCGGGGGGAGCGGCCCGUAGGGGGGGGAGAAGUCCCCGGAAGGGGUGCUAAGGCCGGAUAAUGUCUUCGGCCCAAAGAUUUAGCGCCGUUGGAUGGGGCCGCGUUGGAUUAGCUAGUUGGUAGGGUAAAAGCCUACCAAGGCGCCGAUCCAUAGCUGGUCUGAGAGGAUGAUCAGCCACACUGGGACUGAGACACGGCCCAGACUCCUACGGGAGGCAGCAGUGGGGAAUAUUGGACAAUGGGCGAAAGCCUGAUCCAGCAAUGCCGCGUGAGUGAUGAAGGCCUUAGGGUUGUAAAGCUCUUUUACCCGGGAUGAUAAUGACAGUACCGGGAGAAUAAGCUCCGGCUAACUCCGUG
rnacentral:rRNA from 1 species